UAAUGAAGUAUGGUAAUGUGCACAGAAAUUGAAUUGGGUUUCUAAGCCUGCCCUCUCUGAUGCCAUUCGCCUUUAAUUUGGGGGCAUGGUUUCGCAGCAAAACA